rnacentral:rRNA from 1 species
UUAAUGGAGAGUUUGAUCCUGGCUCAGGACGAACGCUGGCGGCGUGCCUAAUACAUGCAAGUCGAGCGGACCAUUCCUUCGGGGAUGGUUAGCGGCGGACGGGUGAGUAACACGUAGGCAACCUGCCUGUAAGAUCGGGAUAACUACCGGAAACGGUAGCUAAGACCGGAUAGCUGGUUUCUCCGCAUGGGGGAAUCAUGAAACAUGGGGCAA